GCACCUGAGGUUGAGGACCAGCAUGCACCUGGUUGGGCCUGUGUUGUUUUGUUUUUUUUUUACCAGUGCAAAGGAGGCGCGAGCAGCCAUGAUUUUCUUUGUUCUUUUAUUUGUUUUAUUAGUUUUGAAAUUAAUGCACGACGAAACGCAAGAUCUGACAUGGACAUUCAUCUUCUUUUGCCGGCGUUACACCACAUUACCAUGCCGUGCGUGCAGCUCAGCACCUGUGUUGUGAACUUAGGGGCUGAACCCAAAUAAGAAAAAAGCAUCUCCAGUCCAGAAGUCCACUUAGGGUCUUGUAUUUGUCUCGGCCGGCCCGGACGUUCUCGCUGUGAAGGAGGUCGUUCUGGGUGUUCUUGGAUUCAUCACGUGCCUGAGCCAGCUCUGAAGUCAAGGCCUGAGGGAAGAGAUAAAGUAGAGGCAUGAGCCUGGCGGGCCAGCUCCUCUUUAGCCAGCAGAGCAGCCUGACGCUCUGCCUCCAGACGAGCUGCCUCCUCCUCCGCUCUCCUCCGCUCCUGCUCCAGCAUCAGGGCUCUCUGGAGCUGGUCCUGCAGAUCUAAAAAUGAAGAGCUGGGCCCUGCAGAUAAGACACAGCCGUGGUGAGCCAACAAAGAGAGCUGACAUGGUUGAUCCAUAGUUAUGGCCAACAAACAACAGUCAGUUGUUUGUUGACCCCCCUCCCCUCACACACAAGCCCAGAUCAACCACAUGGAUGCACAAGCUGCUCUAUUAACGGCAUUCAAAAAAUAAAAUCGUCUCUGCAUCUGUCAUGGUCACACAUAGUAUACUGACUUUCAAGGAAAAUAUUCUUUAUUGCACAUGAUGUCUAUUCGCAGGUGAUGGCUUACAAUCUGAAGUUGCACCACAUUUACAAGCAACAAAAUACCCCUAAAUCAAAAGUGCCAGAAUGCUGUAAGAUGUGAGUGCAGUCAGUUUUAACUAGUAACUAAAACAUUAAGUCAUCAUGGAUUAACUGAUUAAUUGUAUGGUCAAUAAAAUGUCAGAAAAUAGUGAAAACUA